rnacentral:rRNA from 1 species
AGAGUUUGAUCAUGGCUCAGAAUCAACGCUGGCGGCGCGCUUAACACAUGCAAGUCGCACGAGAAAGUGGAGCAAUCCAUGAGUAAAGUGGCGUACGGGUGAGUAACACGUGGAUCAUCUGCCUCUUAGUGGGGAAUAACCCUGGGAAACCGGGGCUAAUACCGCAUAAGCCUGGAAAGGGAAAGCAGCAAUGCGCUGAGAGAGGAGUCCGCGGCCGAUUAGCUAGUUGGUAGGGUAAAGGCCUACCAAGGCAAUGAUCGGUAGCCGGCCUGAGAGGGCACACGGCCACACUGGCACUGAAACACGGGCCAGACUCCUACGGGAGGCAGCAGUGGGGAAUCUUGCACAAUGGAGGAAACUCUGAUGCAGCGACGCCGCGUGAGCGAUGAGGCCCUUCGGGGUGUAAAGCUCUUUCGACGGGAACGAUAAUGACGGUACCCGGAGAAGAAGCUGCGGCUAACUACGUGCCAGCAGCCGCGGUAAUACGUAGGCAGCAAGCGUUGUUCGGAAUUACUGGGCGUAAAGAGUGUGUAGGCGGUUCUCUAUGUUCGGUGUGAAAUCUCCCGGCUUAACUGGGAGGGUGCGCCGAAAACUGGAGGGCUUGAGUAUGGGAGAGGAAAGCGGAAUUCCUGGUGUAGCGGUGAAAUGCGUAGAUAUCAGGAGGAACACCUGCGGUGUAGACGGCUUUCUGGACCAUCACUGACGCUGAGACACGAAAGCGUGGGGAGCAAACAGGAUUAGAUACCCCCGUAGUCC